GGGCGCUCCGAGGCGCGCUCCCACGCGCGCACACCCAGCCCCAGGCUUCCCCUUCCCUCUCUCCACUCCCCACGCCCUGCAGCGAAACGGCCCCAGAAGCCCCUCUCCGAGGCGCGAGUUCGGUUUGGUUCUGGCAGGGGCUUUGCAGCUGUCCGGAAGGUGAAGUCAGCCUUGUGUCCUGAGGAGAAACUGGAGAUGCAGGUCGCUGUGCCCUCCCGCUGCUACGUCGCUGCGCCGGAUCCUGCCAUCCUUCCGCAAGGGGUGAGAGCGGGAACAGCCCUGCCCUGCCUUCCAGGUAUUAUCUAGCCUGGAGGCUGGAGCGCAAGGUAACGCUCCGGGAAGUGGCACUCGGGUCCCCGCACACGGGCGAGUCCUCAGCAGUUCAGUGGACAGACCCGCAGGACGCGGCUGCCAAGUCCGCGAGGCAAGGACCAGGCAUCUUCCCGCGCCUCACUCCAGCCUGCGGACUGUGACUUUCCAUCCCAGUAUCAGACAAGCUCGCGAGUAACUGAACAUCCUUUCCAGUCCAUGGGUGGGGUGUGGAAAGGGCGUAAAACUCCAAAGUGGCUCCUCCGCGGUGAGCGAGCUGCCCCGGGGCUCUGCCUGACUGCAGCGCGAAGCCUGGGAGAACAAACCCAGUUCCCUCCGUCAAGAAAUUUCCAUUUAAGUCCGAGAAAGUCAUAUGAUUGAGAAGUUCAGCAGCGGCGGCGAGGACCCAGUGUCUGGGAAAGAACACCUGGAGGAUGGGGUGUCCAGGACGCCGGCUUUUCGGGGUUCCGACCCCACCCACCUUAUGUUGUAACAUACAAGCUUAGAGACCUGUUGCAAGGAACAACUGACUGGGUCUUCCACCACCCCUGGCACCCGGGUGGCCCAAAGCCUAUGCGCCCUUGGCGGAGAGAGAGGCCACGGUGCCACUGGCCGCAGCCUCUGGCCUUCAGAAACAGUGUAUUACAAAGAAAAGGCAGUUUAAAUCUCACAUUCAGCAUAGGGAAAACUGAAGGGUGCCAGGCUCGGGGACUUCUUCCAACAGAGUGGCUCUUCCCCAAAUAUGAAAGAAAAUCAUCAAAUUAAAUUGAAGGCAAAACUAAGCUUCCACCACAAAGACAUAGCAGAUAGUUGCAAGAAAUUAAUCAGAGAACCCAGGACAACGUCAGAGAUCAUAUGAGCCUCACCAGACUGCAUGAGAGUCAUAACACAGUAGGAGUCCCAGGCCUACCUCACAUGGCAAAUGGGACAGUGUUCUUCAGAACAACCUCUGCCCCAGGGAUGCAGAAAGGAGGAAAUUAAGAAAGCUUCUUUUACGAAGUUCUCAAAACUUAUUACUCUCUUC
rnacentral:lncRNA from 1 species